AUACGUAGGGUGCAAGCGUUAAUCGGAAUUACUGGGCGUAAAGCGUGCGCAGGCGGUUUUGUAAGACAGUGGUGAAAUCCCUGGGCUCAACCUGGGAACUGCCAUUGUGACUGCAAGGCUGGAGUGCGGCAGAGGGGGAUGGAAUUCCGCGUGUAGCAGUGAAAUGCGUAGAUAUGCGGAGGAACACCGAUGGCGAAGGCAAUCCCCUGGGCCUGCACUGACGCUCAUGCACGAAAGCGUGGGGAGCAAACAGGAUUAGAUACCCUGGUAGUCCACGCCCUAAACGAUGUCAACUGGUUGUUGGGGAUUUAUUUUCUCAGUAACGAAGCUAACGCGUGAAGUUGACCGCCUGGGGAGUACGGCCGCAAGGUUAAAACUCAAAUGAAUUGACGGGG
rnacentral:rRNA from 1 species